rnacentral:rRNA from 1 species
AUACGUAGGGUGCAAGCGUUAAUCGGAAUUACUGGGCGUAAAGCGUGCGCAGGCGGUUUUGUAAGACAGUGGUGAAAUCCCCGGGCUCAACCUGGGAACUGCCAUUCUGACUGCAAGGCUGGAGUGCGGCAGAGGGGGAUGGAAUUCCGCGUGUAGCAGUGAAAUGCGUAGAUAUGCGGAGGAACACCGAUGGCGAAGGCAAUCCCCUGGGCCUGCACUGACGCUCAUGCACGAAAGCGUGGGGAGCAAACAGGAUUAGAUACCCUGGUAGUCCACGCCCUAAACGAUGUCAACUGGUUGUUGGGGAUUUAUUUUCUCAGUAACGAAGCUAACGCGUGAAGUUGACCGCCUGGGGAGUACGGCCGCAAGGUUAAAACUCAAAUGAAUUGACGGGG